UAAUAAUUUGUUAAAAUUUUCGAAUGAACAAGCGUGCACAUCAAUGGAACAUAAUUUCAACAGCGUACUGUUUAACUGACAGAUCUAUUUUUGGAACUUGUACACACUGUGUUGGAUUAUCGGAGUGGAUUAAAACAUGGGCAUUAUUGAUUUUUCGUUUCAUGUUUCUGAGUGACCGGGUCGAUGUCUUUGCAAUAUUGUAAUGGUUAAGUUUCAAUUUUAUUUUUUUAACUACAAAAUGGGGGCGUUUAUUAGAAGUCAAAAGUUCUGAACGCACAAUUUUUGGUAGGGGGCGUUAAUUAGAAGGGGGGCUUUUAAUAGAAUUAAUACGGUAUCUGAAAUUUAAA
rnacentral:lncRNA from 1 species